UGAUGAUGGUGAGGGCAAUUUUUUAGCAUAGUCUAGAAUCUUUCCCAAGCUUGGUAAAUAUUUUCUCCAUCUUUCUACAUGAAACUUAAAAUCUCACUUUUCAAAUA